rnacentral:rRNA from 1 species
GUCCACGCCCUAAACGAUGUCAACUGGUUGUUGGGAGGGUUUCUUCUCAGUAACGAAGCUAACGCGUGAAGUUGACCGCCUGGGGAGUACGGCCGCAAGGUUGAAACUCAAAGGAAUUGACGGAGACCCCGCACAAGCGGUGGAUGAUGUGGUUUAAUUCGAUGCAACGCGAAAAACCUUACCUACCCUUGACAUGUCUGGAAUCCCGAAGAGAUUUGGGAGUGCUCGAAAGAGAGCCAGAACACAGGUGCUGCAUGGCCGUCGU